UGGGGAAUAUUGGACAAUGGGCGAAAGCCUGAUCCAGCCAUGCCGCGUGUGUGAAGAAGGUCUUCGGAUUGUAAAGCACUUUAAGUUGGGAGGAAGGGCAUUAACCUAAUACGUUAGUGUUUUGACGUUACCGACAGAAUAAGCACCGGCUAACUCUGUGCCAGCAGCCGCGGUAAUACAGAGGGUGCAAGCGUUAAUCGGAAUUACUGGGCGUAAAGCGCGCGUAGGUGGUUUGUUAAGUUGGAUGUGAAAUCCCCGGGCUCAACCUGGGAACUGCAUUCAAAACUGACUGACUAGAGUAUGGUAGAGGGUGGUGGAAUUUCCUGUGUAGCGGUGAGAUGCGUAGAUAUAGGAAGGAACACCAGUGGCGAAGGCGACCACCUGGACUAAUACUGACACUGAGGUGCGAAAGCGUGGGGAGCAAACA
rnacentral:rRNA from 1 species